GGCCCAGUCCAUGGGGUCACAAAGAGUUGGACACGACGGACUUCACUUUCUAGGACACAGGAUAUAAAGAUAAAUAAGCCCAGUCCCUUCCUUUAAGGCAUUCUUCAUUUAGAGUAGAAACACUUAAGUAGAUAUUUUAGCAUAAUAAAGUGUUAAGAUUAGAUUACAAAGUUUUCACCCACCCAUUCACGCAGGCUUCACGUGGCUAAACCAAUUGCAAAAGCUGCAAGGCCUCCUCACUGUUUAAACCUCACUGUUACUAUUAUCCCACCAGGUCUGAGCAGCAGGGAGGAUUCUAGGACCAGGGGAGCCAAGCCUGCAUAGGGUAUUGAGGGAACAGAGGUCAGAGGAGGCACGGAAGUCUCCAUACAUCGCCAGGUCUGAGCCAGAUGGGCACCCAGAGACUCUGCAAGCAUCAGCCAGCCAGAAAUAUGUGCUGGUUGUGGGGGGCAGAGCAAAGCAGAUGGUCAGAUGGCGAAGAGUCAGCAGCUGAGGGAGCUGGGAAGGGCGGACAGGAAAAGAGACCCAGGGCACCCACAGCAGCACAGAUGUGGAUCCGGUUUAUUUCUUCAUGCUCAGAGACCAAAGAUCAGUUCCGUCUCCAUCAUCCUAUCUCCCAGAUCUGCAGUUAAAUUAUUAGUAUCUUUCCCCAUAUCUUUCAUCUGGGAUUCCACAGAAUGUAGUGGUUAUCACACUAAAGUUUAGUUUCCAAUUCAUGAUUUAAAGCUUAAAAGAUUGUACCCAUGAGACUUGGUCUCCCUCCCUGUCCCAGGCCCAGACCAGAGUCCCAUGGUCCACUGCCCUGCCCCCUGUUGAACCUCAGGAGGCACAGGAAAGCAGACGCUGGAUUAGCAUUUGCUUCUGACAUUUGUGCUCACCGAGUUGGGCUUACAUAAAAGGGUCUCUCCUUCCUUUCUCAUGUGACUUUUCUGGACUCCACCUUCUCCCUGCCUUAACUACACUGCCCAUUGACCUUAGUACCUACUUCACCCCACCCCACCAGCCAGACCUCAAUCCUCCGGGCUCUUGACCGCCUCUGACACGGUUGUGCUCAUUUGUCAGAGAAGACCAUGGCUCAGAAAAGUUACAUUGGAUAUAAAACUGUCUUCUAGCUAGCCUCGGGUCCUGACAUUUUUAUUUCCCUGGAGAUGGGACUGAAGGAUCUUCUAUUUCCCCCUUCCCAAUCAGACCUGGAGUUAGGUCAUCUGCACCGUCCCCGCAUGCCCGACUUUCCCGCGAGCGCCGAGCCCUGGUAAGUCUAACACACGAUCC
rnacentral:lncRNA from 1 species